AGAGUUUGAUCCUGGCUCAGGAUGAACGCUGGCGGCGUACCUAACGCAUGCAAGUCGAACGGACCUUGGUAGCAAUAUUGAGGUUAGUGGCAAACGGGUGAGUAACACGUAGGGAUCUACCUUGAAGUGGGGAAUAGCGGACCGAAAGGUUCGCUAAUACCGCAUGUGGUCGCGAGACCAAAGGAACUAGCAAUAGUUUCGCUUUAAGAGGAGCCUGCGUUCGAUCAGGUAGUUGGUGAGGUAACGGCUCACCAAGCCGAUGACCGAUAGCUGUUCUGAGAGGAAGAUCAGCCACACUGGGACUGUGACACGGCCCAGACUCCUACGGGAGGCAGCAGCGAGGAAUAUUGCACAAUGGAGGAAACUCUGAUGCAGUAACGCCGCGUGGGGGAAGAAGACCUUCGGGUUGUAAACCUCUUUUUGUAAAGACGAGUGAGGACGGUAUUUGCAGAAUAAGUCUCGGCUAACUACGUGCCAGCAGCCGCGGUAAGACGUAGGAGGCGAGCGUUAUCCGGAUUCACUGGGCGUAAAGCGCAUGUAGGCGGAUGUCUAAGUCGUGUGUUAAAGCCCCUGGCUCAACUGGGGGAGGUCAUGCGAGACUGGAUGACUUGAGGGCAACAGAGGCACGUGGAACUCCCGGUGUAGCGGUGGAAUGCGUAGAGAUCGGGAAGAACACCCGUGGCGAAGGCGGCGUGCUGGGUUGCAACUGACGCUGAGAUGCGAAAGUGUGGGGAGCAAACGGGAUUAGAUACCCCAGUAGUCC
rnacentral:rRNA from 1 species